rnacentral:rRNA from 2 species
GUGGACCUCGGAUCAGG